UAGUCAUAUGCUUGUCCUAAAGAUUAAGCCAUGCAUGUGCAAGUAUAAGCCCUUGAACGGUGAAACUGCGAACGGCUCAUUAGACCAGUGACAAUUCGGUUGACGGACACUUGCCAGAGGAUAACUGUGGUAAUUCUAGAGCUAAUACAUGCGGGAGCAUUUGUUAGCAGCUGGAGGUGGGCGGGGAGAGCAGGCGCUUCCCGUGCACAGCGGCGAGUCAUGACAACUGGCGGAUCGCAGAAUGCGACGCGUCAAGCAAGUCUCUGCCCUAUCAACUUUGAUGGCAGGAUAGGGGCCUGCCAUGGUUGCGACGGGUGACGGGGAAUUGGGGUUCGAUUCCGGAGAGGGAGCCUGAGAGACGGCUACCACUUCCAAGGAAGGCAGCAGGCGCGCAAAUUACCCAAUCCCGAGACGGGGAGGUAGUGACAGUACAUAGCGAUGCGGGGCCGUAAGGCGUUGCAAUUGGAAUGAGCGAGAGAUAAAGAGAGCAGCGAGUAGCGAUU
rnacentral:rRNA from 1 species